rnacentral:rRNA from 1 species
GACGAACGCUGGCGGCGUGCUUAACACGUGCAAGUCGAACGGUAAGGCCCUUCGGGGUACACGAGUGGCGAACGGGUGAGUAACACGUGGGUGAUCUGCCCUGCACUUCGGGAUAAGCCUGGGAAACUGGGUCUAAUACCGGAUAGGACCCUGGGAUGCAUGUCCUGGGGUGGAAAGCUUUUGCGGUGUGGGAUGGGCCCGCGGCCUAUCAGCUUGUUGGUGGGGUGAUGGCCUACCAAGGCGACGACGGGUAGCCGGCCUGAGAGGGUGACCGGCCAAACUGGGACUGAGAUACGGCCCAGACUCCUACGGGAGGCAGCAGUGGGGAAUAUUGCACAAUGGGCGCAAGCCUGAUGCAGCGACGCCGCGUGAGGGAUGACGGCCUUCGGGUUGUAAACCUCUUUCAGCACCGACGAAGCGCAAGUGACGGUAGGUGCAGAAGAAGGACCGGCCAACUACGUGCCAGCAGCCGCGGUAA